CUGUGCUUGAACCUGUGACCUUCAACACUCGUGUCAACCAAGGACCAUGGAGAGUUCUAGAAUCUUGUUUAUGUCUUUGACUGUCUGUGUCCUGCUGGUCAACUUCCAUGGAGGAGCUUCAAGACUAUUGACAAAGGAAUACCCGUCAAAUCAGGUUUUCAUCAAAACCAUGGAUUAUUUGGACACAAUGCAAACCAAGCCAGAGACUGCUCAGACUGCUCAGACUUCUCAGACUUCUCAGACUGCUCAGACUGCUCAGACUUUUCAGACUGGUCAGAAUUCUCAGACUUUUCAGACUGGUCAGACUUCUCAGACUGCUCAGACUGCUCAGAAUUCUCAGACUGUUCAGACUGCUCAGAAUUCUCAGACUGUUCAGACUGGUCAGAAUUCUCAGACUUUUCAGACUGGUCAGACUGGUCAGAAUUCUCAGACGUUUCAGACUGGUCAGACUGCUCAAACUGCUCAGACUUUUCAGACUGCUCAGACUACUCAGACUGCUCAGACCAAUCGUGAGCAACAUGUGACCAAACAAACUGUCUGUUCGUGUAAACCUCUUCAGAACUCUUUUGACGUCAGUUGCGGCAAACUGAAGUUCUCGUGUGAAUGUCCACUGGGAAUUUUCUGCAACAUGGGCACGCAGAUCUGAGGCAGCAGUCUGCAGACAGCAGAUGAUCUACAUCAACAAUCAACAAGUGCUGAUGAGCAUUCACAGCUGUGUUUGAUCUGAAAUUCCAUUAUUAAAAUAUCGGAACAAAUUAUUCAGUAAAUUCUUGAUGAAAUUUAAACAUUUAAAAUAAUCAAAUAUUAAUCAAAUAAAA
rnacentral:lncRNA from 1 species